rnacentral:lncRNA from 1 species
AUUUAAUUUCCUUCGUUUUUAUUUCACCAUUUCCUUAAGCAAAUGCUCUCAAAACUUGUAAAUGGCUAAUUCCAAGGUCCUUCUUGCAUCAGUCUUUCUUUCUCUGCUUGUUUGCCAUAAAGUCCACGUUGUUCAAAUCAGUCAAGCUGUAAGUUAUUUUCAUCUUAAAUAAUUUGUGUCAAGGCGUCAAGAUGGUUGAUGACUAUAUGACGUAGUUUUACAUGCUGAUUACCAGAAACGAUGAGCUGAAGAUGAAGGAAUGGUUGGGUCGCGAUAUAUGGGUGGUCUUUAUCCACAAGUAUAGGACACCCUGAAUAUGUUUGAUCCUGUGACAGUUUCUAAGGUGUGUCAACUGGCGAUACAAAUACAGAUAGAGAAACAGCUAUCCAGGUAAAAUAUAGGUCCUUUCACUUCAAGGGAUUUUUCCAGUAACUCACAGUAGCAGGCAUCACAUCCUUGUAAUCAUAGCUAGGCUGGCUUUUCUAGAGUAUAUCUUGUUCUAUAGUCAGCAUGUCCUGAAGUUGGUGUUUGUUGUUUCUUUUGCUAAGUAUGGGCUAUAGACAAUUCAGACAUUACAAAAAUUGCCCAAAUGACUCUUUAUUGAUGAGGGACAAGGAGAUUAUAAGGAAGCGCUUGUAUUUGACAAUAGAGACGUUGAAAAAGUAACAGAGGAGGAGGAAUUUGUUGUUCGUGAUGUGGGUCAAGCAUUGGCAGUGAAACGGAGUUUUUUGACUUCCUUGGAGGAUAAGAGUGAUAGGUUAUGUAAUAAUAUCUUCCAGUCUAUAUGUACUGUUGGGAGAGGAUCUGCAAGCCUGUUAUUGAUUCUAGGAGUUGCAAGAAUGUAGUAGUUGAGGAGGUCAUUAAGAAAUUGGGUUUGCAAACUGAGAAACAUAUCAAACCUGAAAUGUGUAGAGCAUCUCCAAAGGACUCCCAUUAAGCCGAGAAAGAUAGUACAUCGUCAAAAAUAAAAAAAACUGAUAAAUGAAUAAAGAAUGCUUCUCAAGUGACCUCUUUCUUUCUGUGAAAACCCUCUACAUAUUUCUAGUGAUUCUUGAUUUGAUGUUGAUGUGGUGUAGAAGGAAUUAGACUUUAUAGAAAAGUGUGACCGCCACUCGCAAAAAUAGGUAACAUCUCGAUUUUUGGAGAAAUUCAUGGGUAGUCCAUUUUUGGUAAUAUUUUAGUCAAAUUUGAUUAGAAACUGGCCAAGACUCAGCAGCUUUGCUCUUGAUGUAAGCCCAAUUUCAGGCAAAUUCCUUUAUUUAGGCUUCCGUUUAUGCAUUUUUGUCCCUUUUUUGGUAAAUUUUGUUUUAGUUAUAUGUCUAUCAAUUUAAGUCGGAUUCGAAUUAUGUUUAUUGGAG